UACGUAUGGUGCAAGCGUUAUCCGGAUUUACUGGGUGUAAAGGGAGCGCAGGCGGCACGGCAAGCCUGAUGUGAAAGCCCGCGGCCCAACCGCGGGACUGCAUUGGGAACUACCGGGCUGGAGUGCCGGAGAGGUAGGCGGAAUUCCUAGUGUAGCGGUGAAAUGCGUAGAUAUUAGGAGGAACACCAGUGGCGAAGGCGGCCUACUGGACGGUGACUGACGCUGAGGCUCGAAAGCGUGGGGAUCGAGCAGG
rnacentral:rRNA from 1 species